rnacentral:rRNA from 1 species
GACGAACGCUGGCGGCGUGCUUAACACAUGCAAGUCGAACGGAAAGGCCCUGCUUUUGUGGGGUGCUCGAGUGGCUAACGUGUGAUUAACACGUGAGUAACCUGCCCUUGACUUUGGGAUAACUUCAGGAAACUGGGUCUAAUACCGGAUAGGAGCUCCUGCUGCUUGGUGGGGUUUGUAAAGUUUCUGCGGUUGGUGAUGGACUCGCGGCUUAUCAGCUUGUUGGUGUGGUAUUGGCUUACUAAGGCUUUGACGGGUAGCCGGCCUGAGAGGGUGACCGGACACAUUGGGACUGAGAUACGGCACAGACUCAUACGGGAGGCAGGAGAGGGGAAUAUUGCACAAUAGGCGGAAGCCUGAUGCAGCAACGCCGCGUGCGGGAUGACGGCCUGCGGGUUGUAAACCGCUUUCGCCUGUGACGAAGCGUGAGUGACGGUAAUGGGUAAAGAAGCACCGGCUAACUACGUG